rnacentral:rRNA from 1 species
GAUGAACGCUGGCGGCGUGCCUAAUACAUGCAAGUCGAGCGAACGGACGAGAAGCUUGCUUUUCUGAUGUUAGCGGCGGACGGGUGAGUAACACGUGGAUAACCUACCUAUAAGACUGGGAUAACUUCGGGAAACCGGAGCUAAUACCGGAUAAUAUUUUGAACCGCAUGGUUCAAAAGUGAAAGACGGUCUUGCUGUCACUUAUAGAUGGAUCCGCGCUGCAUUAGCUAGUUGGUAAGGUAACGGCUUACCAAGGCAACGAUGCAUAGCCGACCUGAGAGGUUGAUCGGCCACACGGGAACUGAGCAACGGUCCAGACUCCUACGGGAGGCAGCAGUAGGGAAUCUUCCGCAAUGGGCGAAAGCCUGACGGAGCAACGCCGCGUGAGUGAUGAAGGUCUUCGGAUCGUAAAACUCUGUUAUUAGGGAAGAACAUAUGUGUAAGUAACUGUGCACAUCUUGACGGUACCUAUCAGAAAGCCACGGCUAACUACGUG